rnacentral:lncRNA from 1 species
GCCCCUUUUUGGCCCCUAAUUCCUAAACUGUUGAGACCUCAACUCCCAAAAUCAAUCCCAACCUUCCUUUUGUGGUCAUAAACCUUGUGUUUAAAUUUCAUUGAUUUCUAUUUACUUAUACUAAAGUUAUUGUGCGAAAACCAAGAAUAAUGCUUAUUUGGGCCCUUUUUUGGCCCCUAAUUCCUAAACAGUUUGAACGAAAACUCCCAAAAUCAAUCCCAACCUUCCUUUUGUGGUCA